rnacentral:rRNA from 1 species
UUGACCUCGGAUCAGGUAGGACUACCCGCUGAACUUAAGCAUAUCAAUAAGCGGAGGAAAAGAAACCAACAGGGAUUGCCCCAGUAACGGCGAGUGAAGCGGCAACAGCUCAGAUUUGGAAUCUGGCCCCCAGGGCCCGAGUUGUAAUCUGGAGAGGAUGCUUCUGGCGCGGCGCCUUCCGAGUUCCCUGGAACGGGACGCCGGAGAGGGUGAGAGCCCCGUACGGUUGGACGCCUAGCCUUUGUGAAGCUCCUUCGACGAGUCGAGUAGUUUGGGAAUGCUGCUCAAAAUGGGAGGUAAAUUUCUUCUAAAGCUAAAUACCGGCCAGAGACCGAUAGCGCACAAGUAGAGUGAUCGAAAGAUGAAAAGCACUUUGAAAAGAGGGUCAAACAGUACGUGAAAUUGUUGAAAGGGAAGCGCCCGUGGCCAGACUUGUGCCCCGCGGACCACCCGGCGCCCUCAGCGCCGGUGCACUCCGCGGGGCGCAGGCCAGCAUCGGUUUUCCUAGGGGGAUAAAGGCGGCGGGAACGUGGCUCCUUCGGGAGUGUUAUAGCCCGUCGUGCCAUGCCCCUGGGGGGACCGAGGACCGCGCUUCGGCAAGGAUGCUGGCGUAAUGGCCACCGGCGACCCGUCUUG